rnacentral:tRNA from 2 species
GGGCGAGUGGCGAAAUGGCAGACGCGCUGGCUUCAGGUGCCAGUGUUCGAAAGGACGUGGGGGUUCAAGUCCCCCCUCGCCCA